AAUCAACGCUGGCGGCGUGCCUCAGACAUGCAAGUCGAACGAUUAAACUUUCCUUCGGGAAAGAUAUAAAGUGGCGCACGGGUGAGUAACACGUAGGUAAUGUACCUUUGGGUGGGGAAUAACCAUCGGAAACGAUGGCUAAUACCGCAUAAUGCAGCGGCAUCGCAAGAUGACAGUUGUUAAAGAUUUAUCGCCUAAAGAGCAGCCUGCGGCAGAUUAGGUAGNGGUAAGGUAAUGGCUUACCAAGCCUGCGAUCUGUAACCGACCUGAGAGGGUGGUCGGUCACACUGAUACUGAAUAACGGGUCAGACUCCUACGGGAGGCAGCAGUCGGGAAUUUUGGGCAAUGGGCGAAAGCCUGACCCAGCAACGCCGCGUGAAGGACGAAGUC
rnacentral:rRNA from 1 species